ensembl:lncRNA
CGUAACUUGAAAGAGGCGUAACUUGAAGUAGGAGGCGUAACUUGAAGUUGUCGAAAUCUCACAGAAUCACGCGAGAUGUCAAAAUGAUAAGUUGUUGGCAAUAUGGCUGCUUUCAAUAGGGCACAGAGUAGAAUAUUGAUUACGUUUUUUAAGGGAAGCAGGGGUUUUAGGCAGGAUUUGAUGCAUAAGGUGUGUGUAGAUAUUAAUGCUAGGGGACAAUGUGAGUGAUGUGUACGUUUAGUAGGAAAACCUAUUAUCUGAUCCACACUCCGGGACAGAAGAGGGCGGUAUUGCACCAAUAAGCUGGAUGCCAACCGCCGUUAAACUGGAAAGCAGUUACAAUGAGUUACAAUGGUGAGAAUAUAUUUUUUCACGAAAUAAUUAGUUAAAUUUAAGAGUACAAGUUAUUUUCAUACAGUGGUAUUGAUUUUGGAGUUAAUAAUCUAUUAAAACUAAGGUGUAAAGUCAGCAACAUAUAAGCAAAAGGUGUAAAGACGCUAUCCUCCGGUUUCACAGACAAGAUUAAUUGAGCUAUGGCCUGAUCCUGGCUUAAUCUAAACCCUGUUUGUUACUUACAUAAUAUAGCAUAUUUGUGAUUGUGCUGUAAAAACACGUUUUAUAAUGAAUAACUAACAGGGGAGCUCAAUUAAGUACACGACUCAAAAGUGGAUUUACAUAAACCAUAUAUACAUCUUGAAGACUAUUACUAAUUGUCUAUUUAUCAUCUGACAGGAUCAUCUUUGAUAAGUAUUGCAGAUGAGCACAUUUAACAGACAUGAAACAGGCAUCUGAGUGAUGUGUGUGUGCUAUUAUUCACUCACAACACUGCUUGAGAUGAGUGAACAGAUUAUGUUUAUCUGCUGUAGAGUGACUGAAGAAGGAAUGCUGCCAUCAAAGGAUUUGUAUCUUUUGUGGUGGAGCAGGACCUGCAAGGAAAGGGGAAAAAAAGGAAAAACCUGAAACAAAAGAAUAAAGGGCCUACAAUCCUCUGAUCAACCUGGAGAAAAGAGCUGUGCUCAAGGACAGUUUUGAACCAGUUCAGUGGUUUAGCA